CCAAGCUGAGCAUUUCCCAUGAAAUUGUAGUAAACCAAGAUUUCUAUGUGGAAGAGACCAUUUUACCUCCAAGCAGCGUAGAAGGCAGGUUUGCAGAGGCAAUGUACAAUGCUUUUUGGAACCAUCUGAAAGAACAGCUAUUGAGUACUCCUCCUGACUUCACUUGUGCUCUUGAACUUCUAAAAGAUGUUAAGGAGACCUUGCUAUCACUGCUAUUACCAUGGCAGAACCGCCUAAGAAAUGAGAUAGAAGAAGCUCUGGACACAGAUCUCCUCAAGCAGGAAGCAGAACAUGGGGCCCUGGAUGUCCCUCAUCUUUCUAACUACAUUCUCAAUUUGAUGGCUCUGCUAUGUGCACCAGUUCGAGAUGAAGCGAUACAGAAACUAGAGACCAUAACAGAUCCAGUGCAGUUACUGAGGGGCAUCUUCCGUGUUCUGGGCCUAAUGAAAAUGGACAUGGUGAACUCUACCAUCCAGAGCUUUCGACCCUACCUGCAGGAGCAUUCCAUCCAGUAUGAACAAACUAAAUUCCAGGAACUCCUUGAUAAACAGCCCAUUCUCCUCGAUUAUACCACAAAAUUGCUAACCAAAGCAGCCACAGACAUCACUACACUAUGUCCGAGUUCUCCUGACUCACCUAGCUCCUCCUGCAGCAUGGCGUGUUCACUUCCAAACGGGGCAGGUAACAACUCAGAGCCCCCCAGUCCAACAAUGGUGCUAUACCAAGGCUACCUGAACCUCCUCCUCUGGGAUCCUGAAAACGAAGAAUUCCCGGAGACUCUGCUGAUGGAUGGCAUCCGGCUCCAGGAACUGGCGUUCCAGUUGCACCAGUUAACUGUCCUGGCCUCAGUCUUGCUAGUGGCCAGAAGCUUCUCUGGUGAAGUUUUAUUCAGCUCACCUGAAUUUGUGGAUAGACUGAAAUGCAUCACCAAGGCCCUAACUGAGGAAUUUAUCUCCAGGUCUGGAGACUGACAAGUCCAAGAUAAAGAUGCUGGCUGAUUUGCUGUCUGGUGAGGGCCCUCUUCCUCAUCGAUGUGACCGAGUCUCCCUGGAUCACUCAGUCUGGAGUGCAGCGUUGUGAUCAUAGCUCACUGUAGCCUUGAGCUCUUGGGCUCAAGCAAU